CUCUUCAUCAUCCCUCGAGCUGCCACGGAGGCUGGUGCCGGUUCCAGCUGGGAAGGGGGGAACAAAAGAAAAAGAGAGAGAGCAGGAGGGGCAGAAGAACAUAUUAGCACGGAGUGGAAGUGAAGCCCCAGAAGAUGGACCGUCACCUAUGCUCGUGCCUCCUGAGCAAAGCAAGUUUUGGAUGGGGAAGUUCUGCCCUGCUCACACACCUUAUCUCCUUGUGAUCGAAGGUCAUCCGCUGCAGCAGCUAGGCCGUGUUUGUCCACCUCCCCUCUUUCUGCGCAGCGGAUUCGGUGCCGGCUUUUCAAGAGAUGGCUUCAGACUGUGCCCCUUACUCACCGAGGCGUCCCUUAAAGUUCGCUUUCAGCUUGGCAUGAUGUGAUCAGAGAUGACAUCGCAUUGUUCUUGGGACAGGAUGUCUUCCGCAUUGCUUUCGAAGGCUACUGACACCUCUGCAAGGAGGGUGGAGAAGAUGAGUGCUCUGUGUAGGUCACUGUGCGGCAGAGACUUUCCCUUCACCUAGAACUGCACAGGUGCUUAAGAUGGCUUCGAGAUGUCCGAGACCACUAGUUAUUUUCCGAACAGUCGAACGCCAGCUCCAGCCUGGUGUACACCCGGUUAUCGCUGCUGCUUUUGAACGUGCCAGAACUGAUGUGCUCCAAAAGCUGACCACAGCUUCUCCCCUGCCGGCAACCAGCACUUGCAUCACGAAACCCUUGCUCGCCCUGCCGUCGCUUGGCAUACUCGCCGGACCUUGACAGGCUGAGUCACCCUUGCUCGCGGCCGCGAUAAAGCCCUCCGAGCACCACCGGAUUGCGUCUCGCUCUGCCUGGCCUCGCUCGCCCCCUUUUCGCUGAGUUACGGUCUUCCUCCCUGUUGUCAUCUCCCUGCUCCGCCAUGGGAGAGAACAGAGAGGACCAAACCAGCAGGCACCGGAGAUGAACACGUGCAGAGCUGCGGAACGGCAGCAUGUAAUGGUGCACUAAUCGCCUUCUCUUUUCUCAGGUGCUGGCUCAAAAGUGACUCAGUACUUGAUCAAUACCUCUAGUGGCUGUUGGUACAGGCAGUGAUGGGAAGCUGGGAGAGAAUUAUUCAAGUGAAAGCUUGAAGAGAAAAAUCAGUCAGGCCCCGCGAGGUGGAUGCGCCGUCCGUCUUUCCAACCAGAUGCUAGAAAGACUUCCAGGAAGGUGCAGCUUAGUAAAUUGUCCUGGAAGGGCUUCCUUCGUUGAAGGGAAGCUCUCGACGGGGGAGACGGCGUCCCGCGUCCCUCAUCCGUCCCUGCGCGCUUGCAGGUGCCGCUUUUGCUCGGGCCCGAAGGUGCGGGGCCGCCCGUUAGGGAGCCCCAUUUGCGACCCGUCACCGCGCCGGCCUGCGGAAAUGCGACUGUCACCCGGAGGCCAGACACGGCACUGAAAAACUUGACAGCCUAGGUGAAACCGGCCACAAGUGACUUCUCCGUUUCUCCUCCUGAGCGAAGAUAAAUGUCAUAAGAGAUCAGCCGUCGUGGCUUAUACCACGCGUGUUUUUCUCUCCCCGGUGCUGAACUGAAACCAUUUUUGAUGACGGGAGGAAGAACGGGAAGCGCUGGGAGCGCGAGGGGAGGGGGAGACCUCGAAUCCCGUUCAACUUCUCACGUCCCUUGAGUGGGUCUGUCAGCACCAAUCUAAAAACGCGCAUAAAACUGGGGAAAACCAGGCACGGAAACGCCUGAAGGCUGAAGAGGCAGCCAAAGCAGAUAGCAAGAUGGUCAUAUGUAAUUUUUCUUGUUUUGUAUGGUGGCUUUACACGUGGGUAUGAGCGCAGGGAAGAGGUUUUCGGUGGGGAAGAGGCCCGUUUUCUUUCCUUUUUGCUCCAUCUGUGAAAGCCACGUCCCCCAGCAGAGCCACCUCGUUCUGGGCCCAAACGCGGCAGCUCUGCUUUCUAAAAACAAGCAAGCCCACCAAAACCAAGCCGGGCAGCUCGCGAGCAAGGACGCGGUGGACUGGGAAGGGCUGGAACAAGGGGAGGCGAGGCGGUGGGAAACUGCCGUUCCCUUUGCGCUUCCGGAGAAGUUUAAACUUAGUGGUGGGUAACAAUUGCUGUGAAACCAGCAAAUUUCACCUCGCUGUCGUUUCACGCUGUCACUUGACACCAAGAAAACAUUUCCGCGCGGCUCUUGUCCUCGUGCGUGAGCCAGCACUGGGCUGUGCAGAAGGGCAGGGCUGAGCAGGGAACGGGAUAUCCGUCCCAAGAGGCCGGUGCGCUUGCCGUGAGCCAAAUUCUGAUUUGAGUUCUGACUCAAAUUCUGAGUUUCGACUGGAGAUGGAGUUA